rnacentral:rRNA from 1 species
UCGAGGAUUUUUGGCAAUGAGCGCAAGCUUGACCAAGCGAUGCCGCGUGUGGGAUGAAGGCCUUCGGGUUGUAAACCACUGUCAGUGUGGAGGAAAGUUGUGUGCAGAGCAUGACUUGACUAAUACGCAGAGGAAGUCAGGGCUAAACUCGUGCCAGCAGCCGCGGUAAGACGAGUCUGACGAACGUUAUUCGGAAUCACUGGGCUUAAAGGGUGCGUAGGCGGUAUGGUAAGUCGGAUGUGAAAUACCCUAGCUUAACUAGGGAACUGCACUCGAUACUACCGUGCUAGAGUAAGACAGAGGUGAGUGGAACUGAGAGUGGAGCGGUGAAAUGCGUUGAUAUUCUCAGGAACACCGGUGGCGAAGGCGACUCACUGGGUCUUUACUGACGCUGAUGCAC